AACCAUUCUCACCUGCGGCUAGACCUGCGGAAGGAUCAUUACAAGUGACCCCGGUUUACCACCGGGAUGUUCAUAACCCUUUGUUGUCCGACUCUGUUGCCUCCGGGGCGACCCUGCCUUCGGGCGGGGGCUCCGGGUGGACACUUCAAACUCUUGCGUAACUUUGCAGUCUGAGUAAACUUAAUUAAUAAAUUAAAACUUUUAGCAACGGAUCU
rnacentral:misc_RNA from 1 species